UAAUGAGUCUAUUUGUAGUGAUGAUUUAGAAAGAAAUUUUGGAGAUUUACUCGUUAGUGACAACGGCAAAGAAAUUGUUACGAGUAAAGAAGAGAUGAGCUUAAAGGAAGAAGGUUCUUCAUCAAUGCCAAAAGAAUGGAGGUAUGCCUUGUCUCAUCCCAAGGACUUGAUUCUUGGUGAUCUCGAACAAGGAUGCCGAAAAUGAUGAGUUUUGGAUUUUAGCCAUGCAAGAAGAGCUAAAUCAAUUUGAAAGGAACAAAGUUUGGGAAUUAGUCCAUAGGCCAUCUAAUACUUCUAUUAUUGGAACCAAAUGGGUUUUUAGAAAUAAAAUGGAUGAAAAUGGGAAUAUCAUUA